AUCGAACGCUGGCGGCAUGCCUUACACAUGCAAGUCGAACGGCAGCACGGGAGCAAUCCUGGUGGCGAGUGGCGAACGGGUGAGUAAUAUAUCGGAACGUACCCAGUCGUGGGGGAUAACGCAGCGAAAGCUGUGCUAAUACCGCAUACGACCUAAGGAGGAAAGCGGGGGAGCGCAAGAGCUCGCGCGAUGGGAGCGGCCGAUAUCAGAUUAGCUAGUUGGUGAGGUAAAGGCUCACCAAGGCGACGAUCAGUAGCUGGUCUGAGAGGACGACCAGCCACACUGGAACUGAGACACGGUCCAGACUCCUACGGGAGGUAGCAGUGGGGAAUUUUGGACAAUGGGCGCAAGCCUGAUCCAGCAAUGCCGCGUGAGUGAAGAGGGCCUUCGGGUUGUAAAGCUCUUUUGUCAGGGAAGAAACGGUGGGAGCUAAUAUCUCUCAAUAAUGACGGUACCUGAAGAAUAAGCACCGGCUAACUACGUGCCAGCCGCCGCGGUAA
rnacentral:rRNA from 1 species